rnacentral:rRNA from 1 species
GACGAACCGUGCGAACGUUAUUCGGAAUCACUGGGCUUAAAGGGCGCGUAGGCGGGUUCUCAAGUCAGGGGUGAAAUCCCGCGGCUCAACCGUGGAAGUGCCUUUGAUACUGGGGACCUCGAGGGAGGUAGGGGCGUGCGGAACUUCCGGUGGAGCGGUGAAAUGCGCAGAGAUCGGGAAGAACAUCAGUGGCGAAGGCGGCCUGCUGGGCUGUUGCUGACGCUGAGGCGCGACAGCGUGGGGAGCAAACAGG